rnacentral:rRNA from 1 species
AGCGUCUACGAGUUCGUCAUGGCUCAGAACGAACGCUGGCGGCAUGCCUAACACAUGCAAGUCGAACGAAGGCUUCGGCCUUAGUGGCGCACGGGUGCGUAACGCGUGGGAACCUGCCCCUCGGUUCGGAAUAACAGUUAGAAAUGACUGCUAAUACCGGAUGAUGACUUCGGUCCAAAGAUUUAUCGCCGAGGGAUGGGCCCGCGUAGGAUUAGCUAGUUGGUGGGGUAAAGGCCUACCAAGGCGACGAUCCUUAGCUGGUCUGAGAGGAUGAUCAGCCACACUGGGACUGAGACACGGCCCAGACUCCUACGGGAGGCAGCAGUGGGGAAUAUUGGACAAUGGGCGAAAGCCUGAUCCAGCAAUGCCGCGUGAGUGAUGAAGGCCUUAGGGUUGUAAAGCUCUUUUACCAGGGAUGAUAAUGACAGUACCUGGAGAAUAAGCUCCGGCUAACUCCGUG